rnacentral:rRNA from 1 species
GACGAACGCUGGCGGCGUGCCUAAUACAUGCAAGUAGAACGCUGAAGGAGGAGCUUGCUUCUCUGGAUGAGUUGCGAACGGGUGAGUAACGCGUAGGUAACCUGCCUGGUAGCGGGGGAUAACUAUUGGAAACGAUAGCUAAUACCGCAUAAGAGUAGAUGUUGCAUGACAUUUGCUUAAAAGGUGCAAUUGCAUCACUACCAGAUGGACCUGCGUUGUAUUAGCUAGUUGGUGAGGUAACGGCUCACCAAGGCGACGAUACAUAGCCGACCUGAGAGGGUGAUCGGCCACACUGGGACUGAGACACGGCCCAGACGCCUACGGGAGGCAGCAGUAGGGAAUCUUCGGCAAUGGACGGAAGUAUGACCGAGCAACGCCGCGUGAGUGAAGAAGGUUUUCGGAUCGUAAAGCUCUGUUGUAAGAGAAGAACGAGUGUGAGAGUGGAAAGUUCACACUGUGACGGUAUCUUACCAGAAAGGGACGGCUAACUACGUG